AAUCAUUAGCUAAAAACUCUGAUAAUCCCAUAAAAAUGUCAAACAAUUGCUAUAAAAACUAAAUUCUUCACAGUACUACAAAACUUCUAAUUAUGUCAUAUUACACCGUAAAAAGGCAAAAUUGUCGCCCAAUUCGUAUACUUAGAAAUAUUGCUACAAAGCACGUCACUUUUAGAAUGGACAAGAAGGUGAAUGACAGCGCAACAAUGGCGGCGUCAUUGCCAUUUUCGGAGAUGCGUUCGUUGACAUAUUCUCUUACAUCGUUUGUAGAUGAUCAAAGAAGAAGAAACAAGAAGGUGAAUGACAGCCAUUGUUGUUCAGUUGUUCAAUUGUUCAAGCUUAAAGUUAGUUGCCAUUGUACGAGAGAUAAUGACAAAUUUUAGGUCAAUUUGGAGUGAUAAUUAGAAAUCACAAAUGAGGAAAAUCUGAGGAAAACAAACUCCGAGAAGAUCAAGCAAUCGAGUGAUUUUCUGGAACGUUUGAAGGAUUCAUUGGUUUCUGUUGUUUAGGGUGCCCAAGCUGAUGAUGCCAUAAUUCUUGCUUCUGUGGGGCUGUGAGGUUGCUUCAGCCUGUUAGUGUGGGGGAUUUCUUGGAGCGGUUGCAGUCAGGACUCAGGUGUGUUUAUCUUCUGUGAAAUGAAAGCUUAAAUAAGGUUUACAAAUGAAAAACAAGUUGAAAACUACAAUAAGAUUCAAUGGAAGAACACAAAAUGUAUAUGAGGUAUCUUGGAUCCCUCCCCAAAGCAAAUGUUUAUUUAUAUUUGGAUUCAGUAAUACAAUAUAAAUAACUCCCCCAAUUUUGAGAACAACCUUUCAAGAUAACUAUCUUCCAACAAUGGAGAUCUUACAAUACUAACACAAAGAAAGAAAGCUCUCUUGGUUAACACCCUAGCCCCUCACUUGUGUAUUAGCGCUCACUCUAUGUUGUGUGUUGUGUGUUGUUUUUAUGAAUAUGAAUGCCCUUUAUAUAGAGGGUAUACCAUAUUCUAAAGUCAACAUAUUAACGCUACAUCAAUACAUACCAAUAAACUCGAAGUUAAACCCCCUUCAAUGCCCAUAAACGUUCAAAAACUGACUGUUGGGAAUCCAAGACUAGCUGCUCGAACAAGCUCACACAAUGCUCUAACGAGCAGCUGAUUUUCUCACCUUAUGUCUGCUGCCUGCACUUCUUCUCCGACGAGCAUAGGCCUGCUCGAACGAGCGGCUACUGCUGGCCUCUUUUGUUUGGUCUUUUCACGUUGCCUUGUUCAAGCAACCUACCAACACAUGCCUUGUCUUGUUCAAGGCAUGGCCUAGCAUCUUUAGUGAAGACUCAAGCGCUCCACAUCGAUCCCUCAUGUGUCAUUCAAAAUCUCAAUACAUCACAGCACGACACAUCCUCACUGUCCUUCUCCAAAGUACAACACUUACAUUAGCAUUCUGUUUUGGGGAUUCAGUUUAAGUCUGUUGUGCUGUUUUUGGGAGCCAUGGACUGCUGGUGCUGCUUCCCAGGCUCCCACCCUGCUGUUAUGUGUGACCAUGUUGCUGCUGUUUGAGGCUGUGGGUGCUGUGGCCUGGUGUGGCUGACCUCUCCUUCCCUCCUUCCUCGUGGUUUUUGUGUCUUUUGCUUUUGAUGCCUAGGUUGUUUUCGGCUGUAUAGGUCUGUGUCCGAUUUUUCUUGCAUUUGGUUUUUGUGGCUUUUUUUUGCUUUUAGCUUUUAGUGCAUAGGUUGUGUUGGGCCGUAUAGGUCUGUGUCCACUUUUUCUUACAUUUGGUUUUUGUGGCUCUUUGUCCCUUGUAGCCCCUCUUAGGGGCCCCCCUUGUAUUCCGAGUUCGGACUGCUUUUUUGGGUUUUAUAUAUACCUAUACUUGCCAAAAGAAAAAAAAUACUUGUCACUCCGCUCACUGGUUUCAAUCUAGGUUCUGGAAUUACAAUUGUGUAUGACACAUAGCCUAUCACUUAUUGUAGUAUAAUUAAUCAUUUUAGCAAAUAAUUUGGACACAAAGACAAGAAUGACAUGAAAAUCAGAAACAGAGAACACUAUGCAAAAUUAGGCUAAUGCCCAACAUAACUCGACAGUCUUUAGUCUCCUUCGUGAUAAAGAUUUGAUGAUACGUAAAAUUUGCUGUCAAUUGCUAUUCAAGAGUAGUAGAACACCACUACAAUCUGCCUUGAAUGCAUCAUUAGAUACGCUCCUAUGACCACCACCUCUGUCACUAGGACUAGAUUAUUGUCGCUAGGACUAGACUUGUCACCACCCUUUAGCAGCUCCCUACCGUCAUUCAGGAAAUUACUGUGCCACAAUAAGAACAAUGACUAGGGUUACAGGGCUCAUUACUCCGUCUCAGUCACAUGAUUCGCUAAUCUCCCUGCGAAUCGUGAAUCGAAAAACUUAAUUUUGGGCUUAUUUUCAAUAAUUUUGAGCGAAUUUUGAAUUUAAAAGACGAAUUAGCUGGCGAAUUAUGUUACAUUGCUCCGUCUUGCCGUAUGUGGUGCCCCACCUUACGUGCAAUCUCUUGAGUUGAAAACCUUUGAUGUAAUAGGGUCUUGCAUCAAAAUUUGAGAUUGCACGUUACCGUAUAUGCUUUGAGUUAAGGCCCAUCAGAAAUUGAUAAACAUUCUGAUUCUUGUGUCUCUUCACCAAGGUCGUUUUCACACCAUAAGAGCAAUCGUGCGUACACCCAGGGUUUGUUGGGAUGGUUUAUUCAACAUCAAUGAAUUAAAGAUAGUGUGCACACUUUAUAAGUGAUUGGAGCCCUUCCUCACAUUGCCAUAUGGUUUGGGGAUGGUAUAUCCUUGGCUUAUGAAGUGUGUACACCUCAUGUUACCUGAUAAUAUGCGACAUCCAUAAUAAUUCCAGCUUAAUAUAACAGGGUGUAGGGAAAUUAUAGCUUGCUAACCCGCCCUAAAUCAUCCGCAAUUUGCAAUUUGCAAUUGUAGUCGACCACUGAAUUGUUUCCUUGCAUUGGCCAAGUCAUUGAAUUCAUGAAUUUGAGGGCCAUUUCCAACAGAGAAAUGAGUACUUGGCAAUUCUCAUCUCUUCAUAGCGCAUAAAUACAAUUUCGGCCGCAAUAUCAAUAAUGGUAAGAAUGAUGCGAUAACGAGGUAUUGUGGUUAUUGCACCACCAAAUAUGACUUUGUCCGUUUAAUUUUACUACGAACAUCCUAUGACUCACUUGUUUAUUUCUUUACAAGUACCUAUUUGUUGGGCAGUUACAUUUGUAACUCUAAAUCUUCCAAAUGAGGAGUACUUGUGUGUAAAUCAAGGCCUCCUAAUGACAUCCUUAAUCACAUCAAGAAGAAAAAGACAUAAUUAAGUUGCUACACCCACCAUAUCCUUCCCAUUUAUUAGUACACUAUUUAUCAAUGAACUUUUUAGUUCCAAUUUAACUUAAUCUUAAACAAGUAAUUAUGGACCCAAAUCAACCCACGCACCCACCAAACUAGCCCAUAAAAGAAUAAAAGGAAAAAAACACUAAGAGCUAGUUUUGUGAGGGACCGUCUUUCGAUAAGACAACCUUAAAAUAAGGAAUUCAUACGCUAAUAAUUUUAUUAAUUGGACUAUUCAACCUAUAUGUAAAUAAACGUUUCAUGGUGAGAUUGUCUCACACGAGAAUUUAUGGAAGAUAAAAAAAAGAUGAAUUGAUUGGAGACCCACUACCAUACUCAUAGAACAAGAGUUGCUUAUGUAGGUAGGCAAGUAAUAAAAGCGAAGGAGACAAUCACUACAUAUUUGGCACUUAAAAGAUGAGAAUUGUCUGAUAUUUUUCUCAUUCAUUGUUUCAACAUAUCUUACACUAAAUAGAAUGGAGGGUCAUCUGCAUUUUUAGUCCAAUGUUUGUAUUGCUUGUGUAUCACUAACAUGUGGCCCAAAGCAGGACACCAUUUGUCUGUCUUUCCUAGUUUUAUAGGAGAGACCAAACUACGAUAAUAUAUUAUAGGACUUCAAUCAUUAGCAUAAGAUUUUAUAUGAGUUAAUCUUUAAGUCGAAUGGCAAGUGGGUAAAAUUAAAAUUGUUAAAAGUAGGGCAUAUUUGAUAAAUUUUUAUUGGGAUGAACACAACAAGACCCGCAUAAGAGGAGAGUUAACUGCACACAAAUCCGAUGAGAUUCCAUUCUAAAACC